rnacentral:lncRNA from 1 species
CUCCUACGCCGACUCACUGGAGAGGGAAAGGCAACUCCAAGAAAAUGCGGAUCCUCCUGCUGGCUCUUGCUGUUGGCUUUGCUUGUGCAGAUUCCCAAAUCAAUCCAGCAAGGAUAAAUGGGGAAUGGCGCAGCAUUGCCGAAGCCGCUGACAAUGUGGAGAAGAUCCAAGAGGGUGGACCACUGAGAGCCUAUCUCAGAUCACUGAACUGUUUCCAAGGAUGCCGGAAGCUCUCUGUCAACUUUUAUGUUAAGUAAGUACAAUUCACCCUAAUUUAAAGGAAAAAACAACUAUUGCCCU